UUGGCUUUUUGGGGUGGCAGGUAGCGUAGUGGUUAGAGUGUUGGACUAGUAACCAGCAGGGAGCCUAGUGGUUAGAGUGUUGGACUAGUAACCAGCAGGUAGCCUAGUGGUUAGAGUGUUGGACUAGUAACCAGCAGGUAGACUAGUGGUUAGAGCGUUGGACUAGUAACCAGCAGGUAGCCUAGUGGUUAGAGUGUUGGACUAGUAACCAGCAGGUAGACUAGUGGUUAGAGCGUUGGACUAGUAACCAGCAGGUAGCCUAGUGGUUAGAGUGUUGGACUAGUAACCAGAAGGUAGACUAGUGGUUAG